rnacentral:rRNA from 1 species
UACGUAGGGUGCGAGCGUUGUCCGGAAUUACUGGGCGUAAAGCGCUCGUAGGUGGUUUGUCGCGUUGUUCGUGAAAACUCACAGCUUAACUGUGGGCGUGCGGGCGAUACGGGCAGACUGGAGUACUGCAGGGGAGACUGGAAUUCCUGGUGUAGCGGUGGAAUGCGCAGAUAUCAGGAGGAAUACCGGUGGUGCAGACGGCUCUCUGGACCGCAACUGACGCUGAGACACGAAAGCGUGGGUAGCAAACAGG